rnacentral:rRNA from 1 species
GAGUUUGAUCCUGGCUCAGAUUGAACGCUGGCGGCAUGCCUAACACAUGCAAGUCGAACGGCAGCACUGGGAGCUUGCUCCCUGGUGGCGAGUGGCGGACGGGUGAGUAACGCGUAGGAAUCUGCCUCAUAGCGGGGGACAACUCGGGGAAACUCGAGCUAAUACCGCAUACUACUCGAGAGAGGAAAGCAGGGGACCUU